rnacentral:tRNA from 1 species
GAGGGGACAGCUCCAGUGGUAGAGCACAUGCUUAGCAUGCAUGAGGUCCUGGGUUCAAUUCCCCAGUACCUCCA